AUGGUCUACAUGGUUAUAUUCUCCAUGGGCAACAUCGGCCUCAUGUUCCUCUUCUCCAUGGGCAAUGUCGGGCUCAAGUUCGUCCUCUAUGCUGAAGAAGAAUCAUCAGCAUGUGCACAUGAACAAGGAGAACAAAGGAGUAGACGAUCAAGAUGUACCUGGGUUCAUGUUCAGAUCGAUUUGGUGACCAACCUGGAGCUCUUCCUCAUGCAAGGGAGACUCGUGUUCAUAUUCUCUGAUGAAUUGGUGGCCGACCUGGAGUACUUCAUGCAAGUGAGGCUCAAAACUGACAUGGAGUUCUUCAUGCAAGGCAGCCUCAAGUUCGUCCUCUAUGGCAAAGAAGAAGAAUCAGCAUGCACACAUGAACAAGGAGAACAAGUGAAAAGAUGA
rnacentral:rRNA from 1 species